rnacentral:rRNA from 1 species
CCUACGGGGGGCUGCAGUGGGGAAUAUUGGACAAUGGGGGGAACCCUGAUCCAGCCAUGCCGCGUGUGUGAAGAAGGCCCUCGGGUUGUAAAGCACUUUCAGUGAGGAAGAACGCCUGGUGGUUAAUACCCAUCUGGAAAGACAUCACUCACAGAAGAAGCACCGGCUAACUCCGUGCCAGCAGCCGCGGUAAUACGGAGGGUGCGAGCGUUAAUCGGAAUUACUGGGCGUAAAGCGCGCGUAGGUGGCUUGAUAAGCCGGUUGUGAAAGCCCCGGGCUCAACCUGGGAACGGCAUCCGGAACUGUCAAGCUAGAGUGCGGGAGAGGAAGGUAGAAUUCCCGGUGUAGCGGUGAAAUGCGUAGAGAUCGGGAGGAAUACCAGUGGCGAAGGCGGCCUUCUGGACUGACACUGACACUGAGGUGCGAAAGCGUGGGUAGCAAACAGGAUUAGAUACCCCAGUAGUC